rnacentral:rRNA from 1 species
GACGAACCGUGCAAACGUUGUUCGGAAUCACUGGGCUUAACGGGCGCGUAGGCGGCUUGCCAAGUCAGGGGUGAAAUCCUGCAGCUCAACUGUAGAAGUGCCUUUGAUACUGGCGGUCUCGAGGAAGGUAGGGGCAAGUGGAACUGUGCGUGGAGCGGUGAAAUGCGUUGAUAUGCACAGGAACUCCGGUGGCGAAGGCGACUUGCUGGACCUUUUCUGACGCUGAGGCGCGAAAGCUAGGGGAGCGAACGGG